UGAACGCUGGCGGCGCGCCUAACACAUGCACGUCGAACGGCACCCCUCCUCGGAGGGAAGCGCGUGGCGAACGGCUGAGUAACACGUGGAGAACCUGCCCCCUCCCCCGGGAUAGCCGCCCGAAAGGACGGGUAAUACCGGAUACCCCGGGGUGCCGCAUGGCACCCCGGCUAAAGCCCCGACGGGAGGGGAUGGCUCCGCGGCCCAUCAGGUAGACGGCGGGGUGACGGCCCACCGUGCCGACAACGGGUAGCCGGGUUGAGAGACCGACCGGCCAGAUUGGGACUGAGACACGGCCCAGACUCCUACGGGAGGCAGCAGUGGGGAAUCUUGCGCAAUGGGGGGAACCCUGACGCAGCGACGCCGCGUGCGGGACGGAGGCCUUCGGGUCGUAAACCGCUUUCAGCAGGGAAGAGUCAAGACUGUACCUGCAGAAGAAGCCCCGGCUAACUACGUG
rnacentral:rRNA from 1 species